rnacentral:rRNA from 1 species
UGUAAGCGUAUACCAAAGUUGUUGCAGUUAAAACGCUCGUAGUCGAAUUUUUGUGUGAGUUAUGGAGACUCCUACUGGAUGUUGAAGUAACUUCGCCUUUGUGGAGGGGGGUGUGGUGGUACUUUAUUGUAUUGCUGCAUUUCCGCCACUGUUUACUGUGAAAAAAUUAGAGUGUUCAAAGCGAGCGUUUGCCAUGAAUACAUUAGCAUGGAAUAAUAGAAUAGGACCUGGUUCUGUUUUAUUGGUUUGUCUGUAUCAGGUAAUGAUUAACAGGGACGGUCGGGGGUAUUUGUAUUCCAGCGUUAGAGGUGAAAUUCUUGGAUCGCUGGAAGACAGACAGCUGCGAAAGCGUCUACCAAGGACGUUUUCAUUGA